UACGAAGGGGGCGAGCGUUGUUCGGAUUUACUGGGCGUAAAGGGCGCGCAGGCGGCUCAUUUUGUCAGGCGUGAAAGCCCCGGGCUUAACCUGGGAACUGCGUUUGAUACGGAUGGGCUAGAGUUCGGGAGAGGAGAGUGGAAUUCCCAGUGUAGAGGUGAAAUUCGUAGAUAUUGGGAAGAGCACCGGUGGCGAAGGCGGCUCUCUGGACCGAUACUGACGCUGAGGCGCGAAAGCGUGGGGAGCAAACAGG
rnacentral:rRNA from 1 species